rnacentral:lncRNA from 10 species
CUUUGAAAAGCGUUACGUAUUUACAACUAUUCUGCAAUAUUUAAGAAGAAAUCCCAAAUGUAGACAAUACAUCAUUAUUAAACAAAUAUGAGUAGAGUUAUUGAACAACAGAAAAACAUGUUUUUUUUAAUUUUAAUUUUAGAUUUGGGGGUACAUGUGAAGGUUUGUUACAUAGGUAAACAUGUGUAACAAGGGUUUGUUGAUCAUAUUAUCUUACCACCCAGGUGUUAAGCCCAGUGCCCAAUAGUUAUCCUUUCUGCUCCUCUUCUUCCUCCCACCCUCCCCCUUGAGUAGACCCCAAUCAUGUUGAGACAUGAUUAUUUCCAAAAUGAACAUUACUCUUUUCCACUAAGGAUACUUACAAAUUUGAAGUAAUAGGGAAUAAGAUCAACAAAUGGGUAUACUCAUUUAUUUAUUCAUGCCAUUGCAUUUUUAAAAAUCAUAAUUGGGUACCUAAUUGUAGACUAAAACUAAGUUAAUGUGACUGCAUAUGAAAAUUAUUAUAGUCAUAUUUAAAAGAGCAUUUAAUCCUGUUGUCCAAUUUAUGAAUGAUUUCCACUAUAUAUAUUCUUUAUUGAGAGAAAAUCUUUGAAAUCACAUUUUGGAAUAUAUUUAAGUUUUUUUUAAUGUUUCACAAAAUGGAGAAAUACAAAUUCAGUUAAAAAGUAAAGACAAAAAGAAAAAUAAUAAAUUUCCACUUUCAAUAUAGUAAAUUCUCUUUGAGUACAAAUGAAUUCAGAAUACUUAUUUAUUUUCUAAUAGUGUUUUAAACUUGUAUAAUACCCCAUUAUAUAAAUAUGUAGUUACUACCAAAAAUAUUUCAUUUGCCUAGUAUGAGAGACACAACAGCAAAAGCACAUAUGAUUUGCUCUGCAAACUAGAAAUAUGUUGCAUAAUUCUUUCAGGGAAAUAUGUUGUUGUUAUUGUUUCUUCAUAGAAUCUCAAUUUAGGCUUUUCCUGCAAGACCAGUCUUACUUUUUUUUUUUACAGGAUGUAUGGCUAUUAUUUAAUAGUUUUGAUUUCCAUUUAGUUACUAGUCAGUUUCAUCAAUUGGUUUAGUCAGGGAGCUCAGUCAAAAUAUGUGGGCUUGUAUAGAGAUAGCCUAAAUAGAAAGGAUGGAGAGAAAGAGAGAUGGAGAGAGUGAGACUGACUCUACAUUUUAAUAUCACUCAAUUUAGAACAGAGCAAUACAUAAUACAUACUUUCUAACUUGGCCUUGUAAUUAUGCCAGGGGAAAAAGGGAGGCCAUCUGAUCAUUUAUGAAGAGGAAAAUAUAGAUUUAAAAUUGUGAGGGCAGAUUAUAGAAGACAAACAGAAAAAAAACAGCAUAUACAUUUGGAAGAUGUAAGCUUACUUGUUGUGCUGAAUGGCAGAAUCUCCUGAAUCCUUCAUUCUCCUUUCUCUAAAAUAGAGGGUUCAUAUGUACUUGGUGAGAUUGACAUGUUAUUCAAAUGAGAGAGGACUGAAGAGCCAGAACAGAGAUUCAAUACUAUUGCAAGUAUAAUACUUUUCAAAAUUGAGUGAGUGAGGUAAAGACACUCAUUCUGUGCCAGUGGAACUCACAUAUGGAAAUUAGUCCAAAAACCAACUUUUAAAAACUCAAAUUAUUUUUAGAGAUAUUUUCAUUUUUUGUCUUAUUUACUGUUUAAAUAAUAUUUUAUCCCAAAAAACUAAUAAGUUUUAAAAAUCUCCAUCCAAAAUAAAAUAACUGGAGAAUGUUCCCAAGGCCUAUAGACUAUACAAUUUGUGAUUGCUCUGUUGCAAUUUCAUUUCUAUGUCUCUAGACAAUGGUUUGUGACACAGGUUAAAUUUGGGAAUAGCUAUCCAUGUGAAAAUGUAUAGCAACUCCACAGAAGAAAAUAAAAAGCAUCCCUUGACAUUUUUCUGUUUGAUUAGCUAAUUUUCCCUACUCUCCCCCCUCCUCUGCCAAAACCAAAAGAAAAACCUUCUUAUUUGACCUUUCUAUGCAUCAAGAUAGUUUUGGUCAUUAUUCUUGGAUUAUAUGGGGGAAGCCAGGUUUCUUGAAGAAAUUUAAGAAAAGUUUUAAAACUAUCUAAGGUAGACAUAGAUAUUUUCUCAUAGGAGUUUGGCUGAGCAUAUAUUCUGAUUAAUUCAUAAUGGAACUCAGUCUUUGGCUUUAUUUUCUUUAGCAUUCUGCUACUAAAUGUAUUGCUUCAAAUUAUAAGCAUUGGGUAUACCAUAAUUAUAUUCAUUUCAAAAGCAGAUAAUUUUGACACGUGUUUCUGCCACACAGUCAGAUUCUGUUAAAACAAAAUACUUGUUAUAUCGAAAUGUAUUAGAAUAUUAUAUGCUAUGAGUCAAAAAAUAACUUAAAAUUUUUUUCAUUUCACUUUUUUUUUUGUCCAGAUAAAUAGACAUGUUUAUCUGGAGUUUUCAAAAGCAAAAGUUUCAUUCAUAAAAACCAUCACCAAUUUUCAAGCCAGAGUGGUAUUUUUAAUGGCGUUUGUGCCAAGGAAAGCCAUUUUAAAGCAGAUAUACAGACACACAUAAACACACACAGAGAGAGAUUAAAAACGGGGUUGGGGGCAAUUGUAUAGUUGGGUUCCACUUACUACUAACUUAGUUUGACGAAUGAUAUCAUGUUGGCACAGGCAUGUUUAACUUUUAGGAUUAAUUCUACUUUCUUUGAAUGCAUCUAUCUAGAAUGAAGACAAGUGUUUCCUUUGUACAAGAAUUGUUUUGACAGACAGCCACAGAAGAUAGAGAAAUCUAUCAGUAUGUUUGAUUGGUACUUUUUACUACACAGAAUUCCUAUAACCAGGAAAAUGCUGAAGGAAAGGGAGGGAGAGUUGCACAUUUCACAUUAAGAUACAAAAAUUAAUGGCAGAAACAUAAAAAACUGGAUCCAUAUAUAGAAUGGAGAAAAGACAUAAAGUUCCCUCAACAUCAUAAUCCUUGUAGAAGACCAAGUCCUGUUCAGUUCAGGUGACUUUAAAUGGAGCUGAUUUUUAUGGUAUCCCCUGGGCUGAGAAAAGAAAUUGACAAGGUAACUGGCAAGAAACUAAUGUCCUGGAUCCAAUAGAUUUGCAAACUAAGUAUUUCUGCAUACCUCCACCUUGAAAAACAAGCAGCAUUUAGAAAGUGUCAUCUAAGUCCUAAGAAUACAUUAACCAUAUCACUCAUCUAGCACCCUUUCUAAGAAAAUUUCCUUUACCUUCACUUACAUUUUUAAAAAAUCACUUCCAUAUUUGUAAUUCUAGCACAGUUAAUAUUUAAUUUUUCUGCAAUAUUCUCAUGUCUCUCUCCAUUCUUAGAGGUCUAAUUAUAUUCAGAUUCACACUGGUGGCACUUUCCUUAAAUUAUUUUUAUACUGUAAAUAUUUUCAUAUAAUGUUUUUAAUAAUGAGAUAAAAACAUUUUAAGAAAUUAUUUUGUCUAAAGAUAUUUUAACCUAUUCAAGAAAUACUGAUUCAGAUUCUGAUGUAUGGCAGAAUCCAUCCAUCCAUCCAUCCAUCCAUCCAUCCAUCCAUUCAUCUUUUUCCUAAAUUUAUCUUCAGCUUUCUCUUAACUCCAUUUUUCCUCCUGAAUUCUGUUUUCUGCAAUUCACAUUCUUUCUUAUUGUUUUAGCACAUUUAAAUUCUUUCUUUACCUUUUCCAUUUUCUCUUUUCUCUCUCACUCAGUUUAAAUUUGAGCUUGAGAAGAGAGAAAGAGAACAAAUUCAAAGAUUAGCAACCUCUUCAAAACAAAACUUUAAUGUUAUUUGUGGCAUAUGAAGAGACAUAAAUCGCAGUUCAUUCUUCUUUGAGGGGAGAUUAAAAUUUUGAUAUACAUUUAAUUGCCAUUGUUUGAUGGUUUUCUAUACAGAUACAUUAAAAUGACUAUAACAGCAUGAACUUUAAUUAUUUGGAAAUGUGUCUCCACAUUGUAUCAUACUCGAGAAUUUAACACAGACUAGCAUUAGGCCUCUCAAUCCCUUUUCAGAAAAUUUGACACUUUAAGAUAUACUUCCUUUUAAGUUUUAAUCCUUAUCAAGCAAUACUUUGAUAUGAUAUGACAUUGUUAUAUGACAAAUUAGUUGAUUCUAAGUGAAUCUGAUUUAUCUUCCAAUUUUGGCUGUUAAGAGUUACAAAGAUGUUUCCUUUUUAAGAUGUGAUAGAAUGUAAUAAAAACUUACAUGUACAUUAGUUUAGCUCUAUAUAGAAUCAAUAUAAACUAAUAAAAUAAACAAUAAGGAAUUAAAAGACAAGUGCACGUAUAUGGUUUGAACAUAAACAUACGAGUUAGUUUCAAGCCUUGUUCUAUUUAAUACAAUGUUUGAACUUAUGAAUGUAUAAAGGAAAAACACAGCUAGAAGGUAAUACAAACACUUCUGAUAUAGUUCAUACAGUUUGAGAAGCUACCUAUUACACAAUAAGUACACGUAGAACCUAAAUGUGAAUUCUCAUUUUUUGUCAAGCAGUUAGCUCUUGCACUACAAAACGCAUCUGUAUAAUUCACAUGCCUGUUCUGUUAUUCAAGGACGAUUGACAUAAGCCUGUGCAGAAAGUUACAUCUCAUUAACCUCUUUCUUGAGUUUAUAUUCCCAUAUCUUCUGUUUCAGCAUAUUAGUGAGGGAAGCUUGUCAUAAUGCAGUAACACUUUCUUUCUUAACUUUCAACAAGAUUUCUCUCUUUAAAAUUCCUUUUUCCAAAUGGGGCCCAUCCUUUUCACUUUUGGUAACUGUGAGAAUUUUAGCUCUUUGCUAACAGUUUUGAAAGUGUGUUAAAUAUAUAAUAGUGGCAAAGUGCUGGUCUACAAUUAUUUUUACUUGUGCUAUCUGAUAUAGUACUUCAUGUGGACGUGGUGAUACAACACGACACUAUUUCAUUUUUUAGAAAAAAACUAGCAAUCGUUUACCAUGUGCUCUGCUUCUAUCUUAGAUGUUCCUCUCCCUCAUGAAACUAAAUUGGCACCAAAUAUAAUCCUCUUAGUUAUUUAAUAUUCUAUCUCAGAAGAAAGUUGUGGGGUCUGUAUUUUUUAUGUUCUAUACAAAAUUCUCUUCAGAUAUUUACUCCAAUCAUGGUAGCAGUAGUUCUAUCCUCAUAAAUGUAUACAAAAGCAUUGAGAACUCAGCUUUAGAUGAAGUCAAAUUUCUGGAGAUUGGAGACUCAAUCAGGAAGAGCCCAAUAGCAGUAGUCUGCCAGUACCAUUAUAUUUUGCUAGCAUACUGGGCUGAAAAUCUCCAUUCUGUUCAUCUGCUCUGGUCCAACUUCAAACAUUUUUCCUAAGAAAGGUUGAGAGCUGAUUGUUCCAGAUCAAAGACAUCAUCAUUUCAAGGCGAGCUAUGUGCUUCCAUUUCAUCAGUAUAGUUUCCAACCAUUCCACACCAACUUCAAGGCAAGUUGAGCAAGUUCAGAAGCUAUGGUUAGGUGGCAAUGAUAUGCUUAAAAGAUUAUCACCAAUAAGUGUCAGAUUUCCUAAAGGAACUCAGAUUAGUCCCACCACUGGUAGAGGAAAUAACACGUGUAGGUAUGUUACAAAGGCUAGAAUCUGGCUGCCAACAGCAGGUUGAAUAGAAACACUGCAGUUCAUUCCCCUGUUCUUUCCUAUAAUGAAGCAAUAUUUUUUGUCAAUUCAUAAUCUGCUUCAUGUAAAUACAAUAACUAAAUCUCCCAAUGCAACAUUCUGCCUAUUUGCUUGGCAUUGGGAUCUGGGUUUCUUUCUCUCUUUCUCUCUCUCUCUCUCUCUCUCUCUCUCUCUCUCUCUCUCUCUCUCUUAUUUAAACUAAAAAGCUGAACUAUACCAGUCAAUAUAAGCUCAUUUUCUGAUUUUAAAAAAAUCUAUGAUACUUCUGAUUUUACUUUAACCAGUUAACCAUUCCAAGGCCAGGGCCAGUGCCCCAAAUAUUCAUCUAGUAUUUUCCUCCCUUUUUCACCAGUGCAUCUGUUGUCAAAGAUUAUUAAACUCGCACAGGGAUUCUUGAUUUUCCAGAUGAAAAGUUUAUAGAAUCCCGGCUUUUUCUAAUUCCUACCUCCUUUCUCCUCUGCUCCCCAUAUCCAUUCCCUUCUAAACUUCUACCAUUCACCAGCUGCUUGGAGAAAAAGGAAAAGCAAAGCGCCAGACUGGAGAGAGGCACUCCAGGGGUGGGUUAGCCCCUCAGAGCACCUGGGCUGUGUCACAGACCCUCAUAAUCGAAAAGUCAAUUUCAAGCAGGUGCGUGCGCCCGGAAUCGUCCUAAAAGCCUCUCUGCUGAUGACAGGACUCUGACCCCAGUCUGCCCCCAGGAAGGGGCUAUAGAAACGAAAGGGGCCUGAAUCGGCGCUUUCGCCGCUCCACGGACCUCGAAUGCAGCAGGGCCAGCGCACGGUGGUCACCCGGUCCCGGGGAGCGGAGCUGCAAGGACUUAAGUUUCACACUCACUUAUCUGCAAGCAUCGCCCAGCAGGAAAGCCAAGGAAGUCAGGGGAGGGGAGCGGGGAGGUGUUCUCCUUACCUCGGUCGGCUCCCACGGUCAGCACCCUGGCAAUCGGCAAUAAUCCC